rnacentral:lncRNA from 1 species
GCCGAUGAUAAAGUGAAUAAGCGAACAAUUGAAAUUAAAUAUUUGCUUAAUUGUAUAUCCGUGAAUUCUAUUUUGUUACUCUGGCCGAAGGUGACACUUGCUUCUAAUAAGAACGUCGUAUUUUUACAUUUACAUGUUUUGUUAAUGCAUGUUCCUUUGCGUAUGCAUUUCUUUUGUAAAGUUCAUAAAUAUUCUAAAACAAUUGUCCUCCCACAUUAUGUUUACUUCCG